UUGUCUUCUAAAUAAAGACCAGUAUGAAUGGCUAAAUGAGGACGAACCUGUCUCUUACGACUAAUCAGUGAAACUGAUCUUCCAGUACAAAAGCUGGAAUAAUCACAUAAGACGAGAAGACCCUGUGGAGCUUAAAAUAAGCCGCUAACAAACAACAUGCCAUAGCCUGCCAUUUUAAGUUGGGGCGACUUCGGAAAAAAACAAAACUUCCGAGCACAGAACCACCACUUCUAUUAAAGGCCAACAAGCCAAAAUACGAGCUGACCCGGCCAAACCGAUCAACGAACCAAGUUACCCCAGGGAUAACAGCGCUAUCUUCUUCAAGAGUCCCUAUCAACAAGAAGGUUUACGACCUCGAUGUUGGAUCAGGACACCCAAAUGGUGCAGCCGCUAUUAAAGGUUCGUUUGUUCAACGAUU
rnacentral:rRNA from 1 species